UACGUAGGGUGCGAGCGUUGUCCGGAAUUAUUGGGCGUAAAGAGCUCGUAGGCGGUCUGUCGCGUCUGCUGUGAAAACUCAGGGCUUAACCCUGAGCUUGCAGUGGGUACGGGCAGACUAGAGUGCGGUAGGGGAGACUGGAAUUCCUGGUGUAGCGGUGAAAUGCGCAGAUAUCAGGAGGAACACCGGUGGCGAAGGCGGGUCUCUGGGCGGUAACUGACGCUGAGGAGCGAAAGCAUGGGGGGCGAACAGG
rnacentral:rRNA from 1 species